AAAACUAUAAUAGUUAUACAUAUGCUAUUGCAAUAUCUUUUCUAGAAAGUUAUAGGAUCUGCCAUUGCGUAGUACAUUAAUUUGUUCUAUAAUCAAUCGUUUUCACAGCGCACGCGAAUUAAGAACAUUUUUUGAUCAUUUUUUCAAACCUUGGGUAACAUUAUUGGGGGUUUAGUAUGAAUCCCCAACUUUUUUGAAAAUUUAAUAUAGCCUAUUUUGGGAUGUAGGGCAGGUCGCCUCCAAGCUGGUGCAUCCUGGGUAACGCUAAAUGACCUGCGGCCUUCACGGCCUUACAACUCCUUGGACGACCUUUCGCUUUGGACUGGUUUUUGAGAAACAUUUAUUUGGAUUUGGUAGAACCCUGGGCUGGUGGUGGCGGCAUUCUGGCACCUGAGUAUGAUGAGGGAACACUCAUCAGAAAUGGCUGUCGGGCUAAUGUCGCAACCGCCCCCGUCCCGUUAAAACCCUGGCAGGGCUCCCCUCGUCGUUAAGUUGGAGAUGACUCUUUCUUUGCACUGGUCGGCUCUGAACGUAUUGCUUAAUAAGGGCGUACAACGUACGUCAACCCUCGCCUUGGCCUCGUCACUGAGAUAACCUUGGGACCAUAAAAGGCGACUACUUUUUCGGGGGCGGAUAGCGGCUCUGAGUGGGGAACCUUUUUGAAUGGACAAUAAUACAAACAACAACAACGACGGAAAGACGACGAAGGGCGGUGAAAGACUGUCGAAAUCGACACCUAGAUCCAACCCAGGUGGGGCUGCUGCUCCUACGGCGACGAAACCGUCGCUGGGCAAUUGCAGCAACAGGACAAAGUCUCCAGUUGGUGUCUCAUCAGGUAGCAAAAUGGGGGAAGCCGGCGCAAGUCCGCCGGCAGGAGAAGUAGCGAAGGGUGGACCUUUCAUACGCGGCGGAAUUGCUAGCACUAGCAGAGGAACCUCUGCUAGAGUUAUGAAAGGAUCCACUGGGAGUAGAAGCAAAGCAGAUUUAGCGAGAAAGCUAAAGUCGGACCGCUGAUUGGCGGCCAAGAUCUUGGAACGCUACGGUGACAAGCAUGUUGGUCAGGUAUCGAGGGCUCGCGUUUGGCUGGCGGCCGAACCUUCCACUGCAAGCGAGAUUGACGAAAUCCUCAGAUAUCGCAAUCCCUCACUUCCAACGCAGGACUGGAAUGUUUUAAGGCUAGAGAGAACCGAUGAACCAUAUCGGCAAGCGCUGAUAAUGCUAAAUGCGGAAUCCAUCGGUCCUCUCAGCAAAACAAAGGAAGCCAUACUGAAAGUACUUCCAUCAGACGCCAGAGCUGAUGGCACUCAAGCAGCGGCUGCGGUGGAUGUGACAGAGGGCGCUGACGGUCAAGCGACCGUGGAAAUCGACCCGAAUCUCUCGGACGUGGCGAGUACUGGGGGCGGUUCGUCGAUCGGCGACACCGUCUUCAACCUCGAACAACUGUUUAAAGAGGUGCGGGUCGAUCACGAUUUGGGCGCUGACCUAGAGCUCCUGGAGGAAAGUCUGAAGGAUGAAAUUCCACCAGAUUAACCUCCAGCAUGUGAAGGCGGCCUCCGCCAACCUUUUGCUUCGUCUAGAACAAGACGGAGCUGAUGUCGUCCUGAUCCAGGAACCGUGGCUGACUGGCAACGGGAUAUCUGGAUUGAGGACAAAGAGCCAUAGGCUCCUGACGGCCAAGGAUGCAGCAACGCCGACAUAGGGACAGCGAAGCUGGAGUGUGACACCGGAGAUUUCUGGCUUAUCUCCGCGUACAUGCCACACGAUGAUGUGGUGGAGCCACCUCCCUUACUGCUGAGGAGGACCUUAGCCGAAGCGUCUAAGAGUGGUAACAGCGUCAUCAUCGCUUCCGACGCUAACUCGCGACACCAAAUCUGGAGUAGCUCGGAUACAAAUAAUAGAGAUUUCUGGCAACUGGAGCAUCAUUUGCCUCACUAGCUUUUUCGUUUCGGCUAGGCAAGUCAACAGUAGGAGCUAUUGUUAAGGAGACAACCCAAGUUCUAUGGGAUAAUAUGUUUACUAUACAUAGAAUGUUUGUUAAGGCCGUAUAGCCGAAAGGAGAUAACGGAAGACCAUGAAUAUUUUAAUGCCCGGCUUUCAAGAGCUAGAAAGUGCAUUGAAUGCGCCUUUGGGUUAUUAAGUGCAAGGUUCAGAAUAUUAUGGAAACCCAUUGAAACGGAUCCUUUGUUCGCUGAACUCAUUGUAAAAUGUAUAUGCCUUCUACACAACAUAAUUAUUGAUUUAGAAGGAUUAGAUGAAAAUUUAAAGGAAGAAGUGCAAAAAGAACAUUUUGGAAAAAUCAUAAAAGAAUUCAAUAAAACAAGUGUCAAAAAU